GAUGAACGCUGGCGGCGUGCCUAAUACAUGCAAGUCGAGCGAAUGGAUUAAGAGCUUGCUCUUAUGAAGUUAGCGGCGGACGGGUGAGUAACACGUGAGUAACCUGCCCAUAAGACUGGGAUAACUCCGGGAAAGCGGGGCUAAUACCGGAUAACAUUUUGAACCGCAUGGUUCGAAAUUGAACGGCGGCUUCGGCUGUCACUUAUGGAUCGAAUCGCGUCGCAUUAGCUAGUUGGUGAGGUAACGGCUCACCAAGGCAACGAUGCGUAGCCGACCUGAGAGGGUGAUCGGCCACACUGGGACUGAGACACGGCCCAGACUCCUACGGGAGGCAGCAGUAGGGAAUCUUCCGCAAUGGACGAAAGUCUGACGGAGCAACGCCGCGUGAGUGAUGAAGGCUUUCGGGUCGUAAAACUCUGUUGUUAGGGAAGAACAAGUGCUAGUUGAAUAAGCUGGCACCUUGACGGUACCUAACCAGAAAGCCACGGCUAACUACGUGCCAGCCGCCGCGGUAA
rnacentral:rRNA from 1 species